AAAAGACGAAUGCAGCUUGGCGAGUUGUCCCCUAAACGCGAUGUUCCUGGUUACUCAAUAUCAUGUCGCUAACAGCAGAGACUCUACAUGAGCCUGCAGUGAAUCGUGUUUUCAUCCACCUUCAAGAUACAUCACCCUGAAGGGAGUUUCCCUUGUCUUUAAAGUGGAAACUCUCACUUUUGAGACUAUUGUAGCACAGCUGUAGGAGGGACUAAAGAUCACCCCACACAAACACACUGGGCCCCUCCCACGCCUCACUGGAAAGGAAGGAGCAAGAGUGACACUAGGCUAAUGAGCGUCAUAAAUUUCAUGGACAUCCAGCUCACCCAUUAACCAUGAUAAUAACAAGCGGACCCGCAGAGAUCCGAUCUACCACAGUUGAGUCAGGUGACCCCUCUGCAUGCUAACACUUGUACUUUGCUAGCACUCAUGCAAACACUCACACUCAUAAAAACUCUCAAGACAUAGG